rnacentral:rRNA from 1 species
AUGCGUUGUUGGGUAGGGGAGCGUUCUGUAAGCCUGCGAAGGUGUGCUGUGAGGCAUGCUGGAGGUAUCAGAAGUGCGAAUGCUGACAUAAGUAACGAUAAAGCGGGUGAAAAGCCCGCUCGCCGGAAGACCAAGGGUUCCUGUCCAACGUUAAUCGGGGCAGGGUGAGUCGACCCCUAAGGCGAGGCCGAAAGGCGUAGUCGAUGGGAAACAGGUUAAUAUUCCUGUACUUGGUGUUACUGCGAAGGGGGGACGGAGAAGGCUAUGUUGGCCGGGCGACGGUUGUCCCGGUUUAAGCGUGUAGGCUGGUUUUCCAGGCAAAUCCGGAAAAUCAAGGCUGAGGCGUGAUGACGAGGCACUACGGUGCUGAAGCAACAAAUGCCCUGCUUCCAGGAAAAGCCUCUAAGCAUCAGGUAACAUCAAAUCGUACCCCAAACCGACACAGGUGGUCAGGUAGAGAAUACCAAGGCGCUUGAGAGAACUCGGGUGAAGGAACUAGGCAAAAUGGUGCCGUAACUUCGGGAGAAGGCACGCUGAUAUGUAGGUGAAGUCCCU